rnacentral:lncRNA from 1 species
GCCGUAACCAUGGGGAAAGAAAGCCUUGGGGUGUGCGAAGGCCUUAGGCCGGAUCCAUAGGGAAGGCCUUAAGUGGUGCCGAUAGACUUAGGCUGUAGCCAUACCUUAUGUUACUCGGACUCGGGUACGGAAUGUCGGACACGACACAUAUCCGAGUGUCGGACUUGGGAACUUUAAGAAUUGGGGACAUAGGGACACUGUCCUAUUUUUGGACAAGGGUACGGGGACACAUCGUAGUAUACUAAUAAACAAGUAUUGUGAGUUAGACAUCUUCACAAAAAGUAACAAUAAAACUCAAAUUAGACAUGUNUCAAUGAUCAUGAUUGGGAGAUGAACAGCGGGACGCUGAGUGUGACAAUUUUGUGGAUAAUAGAAGUAAAAUAAAGUGGAAAAAUAAGAGACAAAUAUACCUUCAAUCAUUUGACGUCGGUUAAUAAAAUUUGUCGGAAUGCAGUUAUAUGCUUAAAAAAAUUUUUUUUGGUUCAUUAAUUGUUCACUUUUAUUCAAGAUUGAGGCCAUUAAAGUGCAAUUAAGUCUAUUAUAAAAUUUAUUUAAAUUUGAUUCCUUUGCUAAGAAUUGUAUAUUUAUUUAUUUGAUUAGGAUUGCUGUGAAUGAUAAACAGGAAGCCUCUACGACAGCAAGGAACAAAGCAAAGUUCAGAAGAAUUAAAUAAAUUGCCAAGUCCGGAACAACUAAAAAAGUGGCUCAUAAGUAAGUUUUACUAUUUUUUACAAUUGAUAUAUUGAUCUGAAUCUGGUUUCAAAUCUAACAAAUAUAAAUAUAAACAUAAAUAUUGAUUGUUGCACACUUUUGGUUAUUGUCCACAGGGAUUAUAUUCUUUAGUCUCUGGACAUUAUUAGAAGAUUGCUCUUUUUCUUGUCCUCUCUCCCUCCUCUCUCGCCUUUUUUUUAAUAGAAAAGUUGAUGAGUCAUGAAUAUAAAUGCUUGAGAGAUAUAUACAAAAGGCUUUGUGAUGCACAUAAGAAAAUAUGUGCUUGUCUGAAAUGAAGAGAACUGUACUUGUUGUUUUGAGUACAUAGGCUUCCAAAAUGAGUACAAACUUGAGUAAAGUACCGUUGUAGCAUACAUUUCCGGAAAACAUUUGGUAACUUUUAAAUUUCUUGUCAUCAGAACAACAAAAUAUAUAAUUAUAGUAGCCAUACAGUAGGCCUUAGGCCGUAACCAUGGGGAAAGAAAGCCUUGGGGUGUGCGAAGGCCUUAGGCCGGAUCCAUAGGGAAGGCCUUAAGUGGUGCCGAUAGACUUAGGCUGUAGCCAUACCUUAUGUUACUCGGACUCGGGUACGGAAUGUCGGACACGACACAUAUCCGAGUGUCGGACUUGGGAACUUUAAGAAUUGGGGACAUAGGGACACUGUCCUAUUUUUGGACAAGGGUACGGGGACACAUCGUAGUAUACUAAUAAACAAGUAUUGUGAGUUAGACAUCUUCACAAAAAGUAACAAUAAAACUCAAAUUAGACAUGUUUUUGUAGGGGAUUUUGCAAAUUAGGCGUCUUCUGUACUUUAAUCACAUUUUUGCUUCUUUUUUUUCCCCUCACAUAUUUCUUUGAAUUGCAAGUUUGACUCAUAUUUGAUUUUUAAAUUGGUCAAAGUGUCUGCAUUUUAGUCAAAGGAUCCGACACAAAAUAAGUGUCGUGUCCGAGUGUCCAAGUGUCCGACACGGGUACAGAAGUCUAAAUAGAAGAGUCGGAGUAACAUAGGAUACCGAUGCAUGUAAGUUAGGACCAUAACAAUGAAACUGAUAACUACGAUCAGUUUAAAAUUGUUCAUUAUUUAAGGUGUGAUAGUGUAUUUUAGGAUCUAUCAAUUAUAUAUUAUUACAUUAAUAUUAUAUUAUACUGCAUAAAUAUUAUAUUGUACAUUGUAUUUUCUUUAA